AAAGCGUGCGCAGGCGGUUUUGUAAGUCUGAUGUGAAAUCCCCGGGCUCAACCUGGGAAUUGCAUUGGAGACUGCAAGGCUAGAAUCUGGCAGAGGGGGGUAGAAUUCCGCGUGUAGCAGUGAAAUGCGUAGAUAUGUGGAGGAACACCGAUGGCGAAGGCAGCCCCCUGGGUCAAGAUUGACGCUCAUGCACGAAAGCGUGGGGAGCAAACAGGAUUAGAUACCCCAGU
rnacentral:rRNA from 1 species